UCAAGCGUUUAUGCAAGGGCGUCUGGGGGAUGCCUUGGCGCACACAGGCGAUGAAGGACGUAGCACGCUGCGAUAAGCUGCGGGGAGGGGCGAGCACCCUUUGAUCCGCAGAUUUCCGAAUGGGGAAACCCAAUCCGCAAGGAUUAUCUUUGACUGAAUUCAUAGGUCAAAGAAGCAAACCCGGGGAACUGAAACAUCUAAGUACCCGGAGGAAAGGACAUCAAUUGAGACUCCGUGAGUAGUGGCGAGCGAAAGCGGACUAGGCCAGUGGUCUUCAUCUAAGAACCGGAAUGCUCUGGAAAGGGCAGCCAUAGUGAGUGAUAGCCUCGUACGGGUAGAAAUGAUGAAGAUCCUCGAGUAGGGCGGGACACGUGAAAUCCUGUCUGAACAUGGGGCGACCACGCUCCAAGCCUAAGUACUCGUGUGUGACCGAUAGCGAACUAGUACCGUGAGGGAAAGGUGAAAAGCACCCCGUCGAGGGGAGUGAAAGAGACCUGAAACCGGACGCCUACAAACAGAGGGAGCUCUUCGGAGUGACCUCGUACCUUUUGUAUAAUGGGUCAGCGAGUUCGUCUGUCUAGCAAGCUUAAGCCAUAGGGCGGAGGCGUAGCGAAAGCGAGUCUGAAUAGGGCGACUGAGUUAGGCGGAUGAGACCCGAAACCGAGUGAUCUAGCCAUGGCCAGGUUGAAGGUGCGGUAACACGCACUGGAGGACCGAACCCACGCCUGUUGAAAAAGUCGGGGAUGAGCUGUGGCUAGGGGUGAAAGGCUAAUCAAACUCGGAGAUAGCUGGUUCUCUGCGAAAGCUAUUUAGGUAGCGCCUCAUGUAUCACCUUCGGGGGUAGAGCACUGGAUGGGCUAGGGGGCUUCACCGCUUACCAAACCUAACCAAACUCCGAAUACCGAAGAGUGCAAUCAUGGGAGACACACGGCGGGUGCUAACGUCCGUCGUGAAGAGGGAAACAACCCUGACCAACAGCUAAGGCCCCUAAUUCGUGGCUAAGUGGGAAAGGAUGUGUCGUUCCCAAAACAACCAGGAUGUUGGCUUAGAAGCAGCCAUCCUUUAAAGAAAGCGUAACAGCUCACUGGUCUAAAUAAGGAACUUCGCGCCGAAGAUGUAACGGGGCUCAAGCCACGAGCCGAAGCUUUGGGUGUGACGCAAGUCACGCGGUAGCAGAGCGUUGUGUAUGCCUGUGAAGAGGAAGGGUGACCGACCUUGGAGGUAUCACAAGUGAGAAUGCUGACAUGAGUAGCGAUAAAGAGGGUGAGAGACCCUCUCGCCGGAAGUCCAAGGGUUCCUGCGUCAAGUUAAUCUGCGCAGGGUUAGCCGGCCCCUAAGGCAAGGCCGAAAGGCGUAGUCGAUGGGAACCAGGUAAACAUUCCUGGGCCUGUGGGUAGUGACGGAUUUCGUAAGUCGUUCGACCUUACUGGAUUGGUUGGGCGGCGAAGAAGUCCCAGGAAAUAGCUCCCACGUUCAGACCGUACCCGAAACCGACACAGGUGGACUGGCAGAGUAUGCUAAGGCGCUUGAGAGAAUGGUGUUGAAGGAACUAGGCAAAUUGCCCUCGUAACUUCGGGAGAAGAGGGCCCGGCUUUUGCGCAAGCAGAGGUCGGGGGCACAAAGCAGGGGGUAGCGACUGUUUACUAAAAACACAGGACGGUGCGAAAACCAAAGUUGACGUAUACCGUCUGACGCCUGCCCGGUGCCGGAAGGUUAAGAGGAGAUGUGAAAGCGUUGAAUCGAAGCCCCGGUAAACGGCGGCCGUAACUAUAACGGUCCUAAGGUAGCGAAAUUCCUUGUCGGGUAAGUUCCGACCUGCACGAAUGGCGUAACGACUUCCCCACUGUCUCCAACACCAGCUCAGCGAAAUUGAACUCCCCGUGAAGAUGCGGGGUUCCCGCGGUCAGACGGAAAGACCCCGUGCACCUUUACUGCAACUUUGCGCUGGCAUUAGGAAUGUGAUGUGUAGGAUAGGUGGUAGGCUUUGAAGCCGAGGCGCCAGCCUUGGUGGAGCCACCCUUGAAAUACCACCCUUUGUAUUCCUGAUGUCUAACCGCGGCCCUGAAACAGGGUCCGAGACCGCGCAUGGUGGGCAGUUUGACUGGGGCGGUCGCCUCCCAAAGAGUAACGGAGGCGCGCGAUGGUAGGCUCAGACCGGUCGGAAAUCGGUUGAUGAGUGCAAUGGCAAAAGCCUGCCUGACUGCAAGAGUGACGGCUCAAGCAGAGACGAAAGUCGGUCAUAGUGAUCCGGUGGUCCCGCGUGGAAGGGCCAUCGCUCAACGGAUAAAAGGUACGCCGGGGAUAACAGGCUGAUCGCCCCCAAGAGUCCAUAUCGACGGGGCGGUUUGGCACCUCGAUGUCGGCUCAUCACAUCCUGGGGCUGGAGCAGGUCCCAAGGGUACGGCUGUUCGCCGUUUAAAGUGGUACGUGAGCUGGGUUUAGAACGUCGUGAGACAGUUCGGUCCCUAUCUGCCGUGGGUGUUCGAAACUUGAGAGGAUCUGUUCCUAGUACGAGAGGACCGGAAUGGACGCACCUCUGGUGGACCGGUUGUGGCGCCAGCCGCAUUGCCGGGUAGCUAAGUGCGGAAUAGAUAACCGCUGAAAGCAUCUAAGCGGGAAACUAACCUCAAAACCAGGUUUCGCUCGAGAGCCGUGGAAGACGACCACGUCGAUAGGCCAGGCGUGUAAGCGCAGCAAUGCGUUGAGCUUACUGGUCCUAAUCGCUCGAUUGAAAUGCUUGA
rnacentral:rRNA from 1 species